UACGGAGGGUGCGAGCGUUGUCCGGAAUCAUUGGGCGUAAAGGGCGCGUAGGUGGCCCGGUCAGUCAGUGGUGAAAGCGCGGGGCUCAACUCCGCGUCGGCCAUUGAUACUGCUGGGCUGGAGCACUGUAGAGGCAGGCGGAAUUCCGGGUGUAGCGGUGGAAUGCGCAGAUAUCAGGAGGAACACCGAUGGCGAAGGCAGCUCGCUGGGACGGUACUGACGCUGAGGCGCGAAAGCGUGGGGAGCAAACAGG
rnacentral:rRNA from 1 species